rnacentral:rRNA from 2 species
CGAGCGAACUGAUUAGAAGCUUGCUUCUAUGACGUUAGCGGCGGACGGGUGAGUAACACGUGGGCAACCUGCCUGUAAGACUGGGAUAACUUCGGGAAACCGAAGCUAAUACCGGAUAGGAUCUUCUCCUUCAUGGGAGAUGAUUGAAAGAUGGUUUCGGCUAUCACUUACAGAUGGGCCCGCGGUGCAUUAGCUAGUUGGUGAGGUAACGGCUCACCAAGGCAACGAUGCAUAGCCGACCUGAGAGGGUGAUCGGCCACACUGGGACUGAGACACGGCCCAGACUCCUACGGGAGGCAGCAGUAGGGAAUCUUCCGCAAUGGACGAAAGUCUGACGGAGCAACGCCGCGUGAGUGAUGAAGGCUUUCGGGUCGUAAAACUCUGUUGUUAGGGAAGAACAAGUANGAGAGUAACUGCUCGUACCUUGACGGUACCUAACCAGAAAGCCACGGCUAACUACGUGCCAGCAGCCGCGGUAAUACGUAGGUGGCAAGCGUUAUCCGGAAUUAUUGGGCGUAAAGCGCGCGCAGGCGGUUUCUUAAGUCUGAUGUGAAAGCCCACGGCUCAACCGUGGAGGGUCAUUGGAAACUGGGGAACUUGAGUGCAGAAGAGAAAAGCGGAAUUCCACGUGUAGCGGUGAAAUGCGUAGAGAUGUGGAGGAACACCAGUGGCGAAGGCGGCUUUUUGGUCUGUAACUGACGCUGAGGCGCGAAAGCGU